AGCGAACGCUGGCGGCAGGCUUAACACAUGCAAGUCGAGCGGGCGUAGCAAUACGUCAGCGGCAGACGGGUGAGUAACGCGUGGGAACAUACCUCUUGGUUCGGAACAACACAGGGAAACUUGUGCUAAUACCGGAUAAGCCCUUACGGGGAAAGAUUUAUCGCCGAAAGAUUGGCCCGCGUCUGAUUAGCUAGUUGGUGAGGUAACGGCUCACCAAGGCGACGAUCAGUAGCGGUCUGAGAGGAUGAUCAGCCACAUUGGGACUGAGACACGGCCCAAACUCCUACGGGAGGCAGCAGUGGGGAAUAUUGGACAAUGGGCGCAAGCCUGAUCCAGCCAUGCCGCGUGAGUGAUGAAGGCC
rnacentral:rRNA from 1 species